rnacentral:antisense_RNA from 1 species
GAUAGCCGUAGAUAGUUAAGGGGUUGAGAGUCGGGUCGGUGACGACGCGAACUUCUCCGAUGGUGGAGUCGUACAGUCCGCCCCAAAACAUGGCUUUAGCAACGAGCAGCAAGGCACCUGCGCCGAGAAAUAAUAAAUGAUGUCCCAAAAUCAAACCAAGUUGUUUGGGGUCGUUCCA